AGGUGCGAUCAUACGAGAAUUAAUGCAUCAGAUCCUAUCGGAACUCUGCAGUUAAGUGCACUUGGGCUAGAGUAGUAUUGGGAUGGGUGACCUACCGGGAAGUCCUAGUGUUUCACCCU
rfam:Picea glauca, whole genome shotgun sequence.